rnacentral:rRNA from 1 species
GACGAACGCUGGCGGCAUGCUUAACACAUGCAAGUCGAGCGGUAAGGCCCUUUCGGGGUACGACGAGCGGCGAACGGGUAGGAGUAACACGUGGGUGGACCUCGCCCUCCAGCUCUGGGAGUAAGACCCGGGAACCGUAGGGUCGUAAUACCGGAGUAUGACUCCAUGACGCAUGUUGUGGGGUGGAAAGACCUUGUUGCGGCGUGAGGAGUGGGCCCGGCCGGCCUACUCAGCUUGUUGGUGGGGUGGAUGG